CAAUAGCGUAUAUUUAAGUUGUUGCAGUUAAAAAGCUCGUAGUUGGAUUUCGGGCGGGUGACGGCGGUCCGCCUCUGGUGUGCACUGCCGGCAUCCGCCUUUCUGUCGGGGACGGGCUCCUGGGCUUCAUUGCUUGGGACUCGGGUUCGACGUGGUUACUUUGAGUAAAUUAGAGUGUUCAAAGCAGGCGAUCGCCCUGAAUACAUUAGCAUGGAAUAGCACGAUAGGACUCUGGCCUAUUUUGCUGGUCUGUAGGACCAGAGUAAUGAUUAAGAGGGACAGUCGGGGGCAUUCGUAUUUCAUUGUCAGAGGUGAAAUUCUUGGAUUUAUGAAAGACGAACUUCUGCGAAAGCAUUUGCCAAGGAUGUUUUCAUUGA
rnacentral:rRNA from 1 species